ACACAAAUCAUCUGGGGAUUUUAUUAAAAUGCAGAUUCUGAUUCACUAGGUCUGAGGUGGGGCCUGGGAUUCUGCACUUCUAGCAAGCUCCCAGGGAAUUCCAAU
rnacentral:pre_miRNA from 1 species